rnacentral:rRNA from 1 species
AGAGUUUGAUCAUGGCUCAGGACGAACGCUGACGGUGUGCUUUAGGCAUGCAAGUCGAACGAGAAAGCCCUUCGGGGUGAGUAGAGUGGCGAACGGGUGAGUAACACGUGGGCAACCUGCCCCUCGCAGGGGGAUAACCGGAGGAAACUCCGGCUAAUACCCCGUAAGCUUUCAGGGUCGCAUGGCCCUGUAAGGAAAGGUAGCUUCGGCCAUCCGGCGAGGGAUGGGCCCGCGGUGCAUUAGCUAGUUGGUGGGGUAAUGGCCCACCAAGGCGACGAUGCGUAGCUGGUCUGAGAGGAUGAUCAGCCACACUGGGACUGAGACACGGCCCAGACUCCUACGGGAGGCAGCAGCCAGGAAUCUUGGGCAAUGGGCGAAAGCCUGACCCAGCAACACCGUGUGGGCGAUGAAGGCCUUCGGGUCGUAAAGCCCUGUUGAUAGGGACGAAGGGCGAAGGGUUAAUAGCCCCUAGCCUGACGGUACCUUUCGAGGAAGCCCCGGCUAACUACGUGCCAGCAGCCGCGGUAAUACGUAGGGGGCGAGCGUUGUCCGGAAUUAUUGGGCGUAAAGAGCGUGUAGGCGGUUCGGUAAGUCUGCCGUGAAAACCUGGGGCUCAACCCCGGGCGUGCGGUGGAUACUGCCGGGCUAGAGGGUGGUAGAGGCGAGUGGAAUUCCCGGUGUAGCGGUGAAAUGCGCAGAUAUCGGGAGGAACACCAGUAGCGAAGGCGGCUCGCUGGGCCAUUCCUGACGCUGAGACGCGAAAGCUAGGGGAGCGAACAGGAUUAGAUACCCCAGUAGUCC